GAUGAACGCUGGCGGCGUGCCUAAUACAUGCAAGUCGAGCGAACGGACGAGAAGCUUGCUUCUCUUAUGUUAGCGGCGGACGGGUGAGUAACACGUGGAUAACCUACCUAUAAGACUGGGAUAACUUCGGGAAACCGGAGCUAAUACCGGAUAAUAUUUUGAACCGCAUGGUUCAAAAGUUAAAGACGGUCUUGCUGUCACUUCUAGAUGGAUCCGCGCUGCAUUAGCUAGUUGGUAAGGUAACGGCUUACCAAGGCAACGAUGCAUAGCCGACCUGAGAGGGUGAUCGGCCACACUGGAACUGAGACACGGUCCAGACUCCUACGGGAGGCAGCAGUAGGGAAUCUUCCGCAAUGGGCGAAAGCCUGACGGAGCAAAGCCGCGUGAGUGAUGAAGGUCUUCGGAUCGUAAAACUCUGUUAUUAGGGAAGAACAUAUGUGUAAGUAACUGUGCACAUCUUGACGGUACCUAAUCAGAAAGCCACGGCUAACUACGUG
rnacentral:rRNA from 1 species